ensembl:lncRNA
AGACAGCCACAUUAACGAGUAAAAGACCUUUCAAAGUGGAACUUUGAAUAUUUCUUCCUUAAGGAACUGACUACAAAACACAAAAAAAGCCAUCUGCAACAACAUUAUGUCUACUUCUGCUCUUGUUGUGUACAUUUCCUCAUAGGAACAUGCAAUAUCAAUGGGAGGACAACCCACGACUAUGCAUCAAUCAUUUAGAUGACACGGUACUUAUUGUGGGGGAUAUUUUUGCUCGGUAUUGAAUCAGCAGGACCUUGUCUCUAUACGAUGCCCUCCAGUCCACAGGAUCAUCAACAACAGACAGCGGGCCGAGUGCUGAAAGGAAAGGAGCGCAAAUGAAAGGAAAGGAAAUCUCCUGGUCUGUCUUCCUGGAGAGCACCUGUGGCGAGGGGGAAGAAUGAGAGGCAGAGGGCAAGGAGGGAAGCACCUCUGCCCUUUCCCGCCCUCCACUGUCCCAUCAGACAAUAGUCGAAAUGUAAAAACUAGACUGGAUGAUGACCAGGAAUAUGUUGCUGGAGGUCAAUUUCAAACAGACCCGUACAAAACUUUAUCAACUGCAUUUUCUCAUAAGACUUUUUCUCAUAUGCAGCAAUUUUGUAAUCUUUAACAAAGGAAUCAAUCAAGACUAAAUGAUCAUGUGCAGUUAUACUAUUAAUUGACUGACUGUUCAAGCCUUACUUUGUAAAAUAAGGAUAUUUUGGUUCAUUAUUGUUGCAAAUUGGAUGUCUUUGUUUUUAUGACUGUUGAUGGGUCAAAACAAGCUUCACAUGCAAAGCUGAGAAUCAAAUCUAUUUUCUUUUCCCACAUCUAGCUACAUUGAUUGUUUAUCGAGGUGCUGUCUGUUUUUGCACAACGGUGUUGUGAUUGUAUUGAUCCAACAUAGACGCUGACAGAGUAAAAGAUCUACUGCAGCUGAGGUGGUGCUGAUGUGUUGUUUGUGAUAUGCAGCCAAGCGUAGACGACGUGUUCGUUGGAGAACAACUUCAGAUGCUGUUGGUAGUGGUUACUUUAAAAAAAACGUCAGACAAUGAGGGACUUUAUCCAACGUUCCAGCUGUCCGUCCCACAGGUAGAACUGAAAACAUGUACAGUAAAACAACUUAACUGGCUUGAUAGCGAACUCUAGAAAGAACAUCCCUAUAACUACAUUUAAAGGUAAAAUCACUUAUUUUAACAAUAGAUAUGAAGGUUUUUUUUGCAUUUUUGUAAAUACAUUGCAAAAUUUAACAAAAGAGUGACACGCACACCCUCGCCUACAUCUAUGGAGCUGAGGUGGAGCAAGUUAACAGCUCUGAGUUCCUGGGAAUCAGCUCCACAAACAGCACCUGAUGAGGUUAUUAUUACACAUCUCCAUCAUAGAGAAGCCAGCUCAUACACAGCUGUAUUUAUUUAGGACACUUAAAAUUGCUAUUCCAGUGCCAAGGUUCUGUCAAACCAUACACACUGCAGCCACAACCUGCUGCCAGGGAGAGAUGAGAAGUAUAAGCUACCAAGCUGAAAAACAGCUUAUUUCCUCUGGCUGUCC